rnacentral:miRNA from 1 species
CGGGGUACCAUCGUUCUAUGCA